rnacentral:piRNA from 1 species
UGAGUGCCCGUCUUUUGCCAGG